rnacentral:rRNA from 1 species
UACGUAGGUGACAAGCGUUGUCCGGAUUUACUGGGCGUAAAGAGCGCGCAGGCGGUCGAUCAAGUCGAGUGUGAAAGCCCCCGGCUCAACUGGGGAGGGUCAUUCGAUACUGAUCGACUCGAAGGCAGGGGAGGGUAGUGGAAUUCCCGGUGUAGUGGUGAAAUGCGUAGAUAUCUGGAGGAACACCGGUGGCGAAGGCGACAUCCUGGACCGGUAUUGACGCUGAGGCGCGAAAGCCAGGGGAGCAAACGGG